rnacentral:rRNA from 1 species
UGGGGAAUAUUGGACAAUGGGCACAAGCCUGAUCCAGCCAUGCCGCGUGUGUGAAGAAGGCCUUUUGGUUGUAAAGCACUUUAAGCGAGGAGGAGGCUACUUGGAUUAAUACUCUAGGAUAGUGGACGUUACUCGCAGAAUAAGCACCGGCUAACUCUGUGCCAGCAGCCGCGGUAAUACAGAGGGUGCGAGCGUUAAUCGGAUUUACUGGGCGUAAAGCGUGCGUAGGCGGCUUCUUAAGUCGGAUGUGAAAUCCCUGAGCUUAACUUAGGAAUUGCAUUCGAUACUGGGAAGCUAGAGUAUGGGAGAGGAUGGUAGAAUUCCAGGUGUAGCGGUGAAAUGCGUAGAGAUCUGGAGGAAUACCGAUGGCGAAGGCAGCCAUCUGGCCUAAUACUGACGCUGAGGUACGAAAGCAUGGGGAGCAAACAGG